GACGAACGCUGGCGGCGUGCUUAACACAUGCAAGUCGAACGGAAAGGCCCUGCUUUUGUGGGGUGCUCGAGUGGCGAACGGGUGAGUAACACGUGAGUAACCUGCCCUUGACUUUGGGAUAACUUCAGGAAACUGGGGCUAAUACCGGAUAGGAGCUCCUGAUGCAUGGUGGGGGUUGGAAAGUUUCGGCGGUUGGGGAUGGACUCGCGGCUUAUCAGCUUGUUGGUGGGGUAGGGGCUUACCAAGGCUUUGACGGGUAGCCGGCCUGAGAGGGUGACCGGCCACAUUGGGACUGAGAUACGGCCCAGCCUCCUGCGGGAGGCAGCAGUGGGGAAUAUUGCACAAUGGGCGGAAGCCUGAUGCAGCAACGCCGCGUGCGUGAUGACGGCCUUCUGGUUGUAAACCGCUUUCGCCUGUGACGAAGCGUGAGUGACGGUAAUGGGUAAAGAAGCACCGGCUAACUACGUG
rnacentral:rRNA from 1 species